rnacentral:rRNA from 1 species
GACAGAGGGUGCAAACGUUGCUCGGAAUCAUUGGGCGUAAAGCGCACGUAGGCGGUUCGUUAUGUCGGAUGUGAAAGCCCUUGGCUUAACCGAGGAAGUGCAUCCGAAACUGGCGAGCUAGAGUACGAAAGAGGAUCGCGGAAUUCCCGGUGUAGAGGUGAAAUUCGUAGAUAUCGGGAGGAACACCGGUGGCGAAGGCGGCGAUCUGGGUCGAUACUGACGCUGAGGUGCGAAAGCGUGGGGAGCAAACAGG